UACGUAGGGGGCAAGCGUUGUCCGGAAUUAUUGGGCGUAAAGAGCUCGUAGGCGGCUUGUUGCGUCGACCGUGAAAACCCGGGGCUCAACUUCGGGCUUGCGGUCGAUACGGGCGGGCUAGAGUUCGGUAGGGGAGACUGGAAUUCCUGGUGUAGCGGUGAAAUGCGCAGAUAUCAGGAGGAACACCGGUGGCGAAGGCGGGUCUCUGGGCCGAUACUGACGCUGAGGAGCGAAAGCGUGGGGAGCGAACAGG
rnacentral:rRNA from 1 species